rnacentral:misc_RNA from 1 species
GAUGGAGAACGUAGCGAAAUGCGAUAAGUAAUGUGAAUUGCAGAAUUCAGUGAAUCAUCGAAUCUUUGAACGCAUCUUGCGCUCCUUGGUAUUCUGAGGAGCAUGCCUGUUUGAGUGUCAUUAAAUUCUCAACUACACUGACUUUGAAUUGGUGUGGCUUGGAUUUGGGGGGAAAAUUGUUGUGGGCUUUUUGUAUAGUCUGCUCCCCUGAAAUUGAUUAGCGGUACCUUUGUGGAACUGUCUACAGGUGUGAUAAUUAUCUACAUCUUAGACAUCUGCUGGAAUGCUGCUUUCUAAACCUUACUUGUAUUGACAAUCUUGACCUCAAAUCAGGUAGGACUACCCGCUGAACUUAAGCAUAUCAAUAAGCGGAGGA